GACGAACGCUGGCGGCGUGCCUAAUACAUGCAAGUCGGGCGGACCGAGCGAGGUUUUGCUUUUGUUUGGCCAGCGACGGACGGGUGAGUAACACGUGGCCAACCUGUACGCAAGACUGGGAUAACUCCGGGAAACCUGAGCUCACAUAGGAUAACACCGAAGACCGCAUGGUCUUCGGUUGCAAAGCCGCCUUUAGGAUGUCACUUGCGGUUGGGUAGGCGGUGCAUUAGCUAGGUUGGGGGGUGACGGCCCAUCAAGGCGACGAUGCGGAGACCGGCGUAGAGGGAUACCGAGCACACGGGGACUGGGACACGGCCCAGACUCCUACGGGGGGCAGCAGUAGGGAAUCUUUCGAAAUAGGGGGAAGCCUGACGGAGCGACGCCGCGUGAGCGGAGAAGGGUUUCGGGUCGGAAAGCUCCGUUGUGAGGGACGAAGGAGCACCGUUCGAAUAGGGCGGCGCAGUGACGUUACCACACGAGAAAGCCCCGGCUAACUACGUG
rnacentral:rRNA from 1 species